UACGUAGGGGGCGAGCGUUGUCCGGAUUUAUUGGGAGUAAAGAGCUCGUAGGCGGUUUGGUAAGUUGGAUGUGAAAUCUCCAGGCUCAACUUGGAGGGGUCAUUCGAUACUGCCAUGACUAGAGUUCGGUAGGGGAGUGUGGAAUUCCUGGUGGAGCGGUGAAAUGCGCAGAUAUCAGGAGGAACACCUGUGGCGAAGGCGGCUUUCUGGGCCUUACCUGACGCUGAGACGCGAAAGCGUGGGGAGCGAACCGG
rnacentral:rRNA from 1 species